GUUCAUUCAAAUAAGUGUUAAAAAUGAUUUUUUUUUCCUGUUUUAAGAGGGCUUUUAUUAUUGUACUCAAGAGAGUUGUUUCUGGAGACAAAGUUGCCUGUGCUUUAAUAGGCAGACUCUGGGGAGAAUCCGAAUCACAGGCCAGAACAUUUUAUAUUAAUAAAUUCAAUACAAAGCAGAAAGUAUAGAUUUGCUUUCACCAUUUUAAAAGUGUUUAGUUUUGUUAAUCACCUAAAUAACAUAAUUUGUUUUGUUGCAGUAAUUGCUUUUAUUCUGAAAAUAUGUACAAACCUAUACUCACACAAAAACACUCAAUUCAUAAUUUUCUUACACCUCAGGUUUAUCUUCAGAGUAAUAUGUGUAUAUUUAACUCUAUGUAAAUUAAAACUAAAAGUCUAUGUGUUUGCAGGCAGAGACCACAUGUUCAAGGAAAACUAUAUUACAAGUAUUUAUAAUUUUUCAGGACUCAGAAAUAUUGUAGGCCUGAGUCAAAAGAUGCCAUAUAAGGCAUAAAUAUAUACACAUAUUAUAUACCCACGAAUACAAAUAAAAAAUUUAAAUAAUAAAGAGUCAAAAUUUAAUCUAUGGGAACAAUAUUUAACUCAUUUGCAGUUUAAAGCCACUGACAGUGAUUACUAAAGAUGUUAUUUUACAAUGUAUGAAAUAGUAUAUUCCUACAAUAUUGUACCUACACCCUUGAGUAAAGUGGGAUACAGUUAGUGGCACAAUAAUGGUUCAUUAAACGCACGGUAGUCUUACCAUGGUAAAAAUAAAAUAAAAUUAAGUUCACAAAUAAUCUAACAAACUUUUUUUUUUUUGAGACAGAGUUUUGCUCUUGUUGCCCAGACUGGAGUGCAAUCGCACAAUCUUGCCCCACUGCAACCUCUGCCUCCCAGGUUCAAGUGUUUCUCCUGCCUCAGCCUCCUGAGUAGCUGAGAUUACAGGCAUGCACCACCAUGCCUGGCUAAUUUUUUUUGUAUUUUUAGUAGAGACUGGGUUUCUCCAUGUUGGUCAGGCUGGUCUCGAACUCCUGACCUCAGGUGAUCUGCCCACCUUGGCCUCCCAAAGUGCUGAAAUUACAGGCAUGAGCCAUCAAGCCCGGCCCUAACAGUUUUAAAAUGCACUGCAUUUUAUUACAUAAAAGUACAAGUAGUAAAGUAAUAUACUCAUUUAUUUUAAUAUACUUUUAAUUAUUUCUUUGUGUCACUAUAAUAAAGUAUUGCUCUGAACAUUUACGUUAUACAUUACUUAAUAGAAUUUUACUACAAACAGCUUCUCCACUUGUAUUUUCAUUAUGCGUCUUACAUUUUAAUGUUCUUACUAUUUUAUAGAAAAAGUCAUAAUGUCCAAAUAAUGUAAAAAAAUCGAAUAUCUCUGAUGCAGAAGCCACUGAUCACAUGCUUUCUCACAUGUGAAUAGAAAUAAAAUAACAGCAUAAUUUGAAAGCUGUAUUACAUCAUCAUUCACUUUUCAAAAAAAUUGUUUUCAAGGAAACAAAUAUACUUUCAAUGUAAAUACAAAGCUUCAAAAAAUCUCCUUUUAAAGUUAUAUACUAAUUUAUACAAACUUAUAUACAAAUUUAACAACUUUAGUUGUGAAUUCAUUUAUAUACUCAACACUCUUAUUUAAUGUAAUGUCUGAAGUGUCAGUGCCUUAGUUAUUCUGUAAAUUCUGAUAUUUACAUACAAUUAAUUUUGAAUUAAAUAUUUUUUCAUGUUUACUGCAUCUGCAAAAAUAUAUUUUAGUAUAAACUCUGCUGUUUUCUAAGCUGUAGUUUUUUUUUUUUAAAGUGUUUCCAAAUUCAUUACAUUUGCAGGACCCUUCUCCAAUAUAAGUUCUCUGAUGUUGAGCAAAGCUUGAGCAACUGCUUCAGGAUUUUCCUCUAGUACAAAAUGUGUGUAAUAAACCUCCUGUAUAUUUGUAAUGGUUGUCUUCAGAAUAAAUACUCUUCUUCACUUUAAAGGCUUAUAUUUUCUGAAAGAUUUUUUGACAGUAAUUGCACUUUUAAUGCUUUCAUUAACUAUGAACCUUCUUAUGUUGAGUAAGAUGUGAGUAGGCAUUAAUGGGUUUUCCAUAUUCUUUAUAUUUGUACAAUUUUUCUCAAGGAUAAUAGCUUUCCUGCAAAAUAAGAUGUACACAUUGAUUAAAGGUUUUGCCACAUUCUUCAUGCUUGUAGGAAUUUUGCCAGUAUGAAUUAUCUUACUAUCAAAUGUGGCAACCAUAUAAAGGCUGUUUCACAUUUUAUAUAUUUCUAGGGUUUCACACUAGUAUAAAUUUUUUAUGUAUAGAAAGGAUGGAAGUGUUGAAAAAAGCACUGUCACAUCUUUCAGGUUUGUAGAGUUCCUCUUCAGAAUGAAUUAUCACCAUGUCUCUUAAUAGUAAGAACUUGUGGCCAGGCAUGGUGGCUCAUGCCUGUAAUUGCAACACUUUAGGAGGCUGAGGUGGGUGGAUCAUGUGAGGUCAGGGGUUGGAUACCAGCCUGACAAACAUGGUGUAACCUUGUCUCUACUAAAAAUACAAAAGUUAGCUGGGCAUGGGGGUGGGCACCUGUAAUCCCCCUUACUUGGGAGGUUGAGGCAGGAGAAUGGAUUGAACCCAGAAGGCGGAGGUUGCAGUGAGCCGAGACUGUGCUAUUGCACACCAGACUGGGUGACAAGAGUUGAAACUCCAUCUCAAAAAAAAAAAAAAAAAGACAGAACUUGUUAUAUGCUUUGCCACAUUCUUCACACUUGUAGGGUUUCUUUCCAGUAUGAAUUAUGUGUAAUAAAGGUUGAGAAGUUCCUUAAAAAAUCUGUCACAUUCUUUAUAUUUGUAGAGUUUAUAUUUCAUAUCAAUUCUUAGUUAGAAAUUGAGGGCUGGUUAAAAGAUUUUCCCCAUUCAUCACAUUCACAUGGUUUCUCUCCAGUAUGAAUUAUCUUAUGUGCAGUAAGGUGUGAGGAUAGGUGAAAAGCUUUACCACAUUAUUCACAUCUGUAGGGUUUCUCUCCAGUAUGAAAUCUCUUAUGUGUAGUAAGUUUAGAGGAGUGCUUAAAGGCUUUGCCACAUUCUUCACAUCUGUAGGGUUUUUUUCCAGUAUGAAUUUUCUUAUGUGUAGUAAGGUUAGAGAAAUGCUUAAAAGCUUUGUCACAUUCUUCACAUUUGUAGAAUUUCUCUCCAGUAUGAAUUAUCUUAUGUGUAGUAAGGUGUGAGGACCGCUUGAAGGCUUUGCCACAUUCUUCACAUUUG
rnacentral:lncRNA from 10 species